rnacentral:lncRNA from 1 species
AUGGCACCGGGGAUGGCACUGGGGGUGGCACCGGGGGUGGCAGCGGGGAUGGUACCGGGGAUGGCACCGGGGAUGGUACCGGGGAUGGCACCGGGGGUGACACCGGGGAUGGCAGCGGGGAUGGCACCGGGGCCAUCCCGUGCGGCGAUCAAACCUCUCGCUUUGGCGAGGCCUCGUGGCUCACACGGGGACGCUGGUGACCGGGAGAGGCUGGCGGAGCGGGGUCGCGCUGAUCCAGGCCUGCAUCCCUGGCGGGGAUGGCGGAAAAUCCUCUGGGAGCAGCAGCGGGAGCGGGGCUUGGAGCAUCAGUCCCGGCAGGAGCGGCUGGGGGGGCUCAGCCUGGGGAGGAGGAGGCUCCGGGGGGAUCUUUUUGCUCCACAAAUUCCUGCCAGGAAGGUGCGGCCAGGUGAGGCUCGGGCUCUGCUCCAUCCAGGGAACGAGGGAUGCGGUGACUCAAGCUGUGCCCAGGGGGGGUUCAGGUUGGAUUUUGGGAGAGAUUUGUUGGUGGGGAAUGCGCUCAGGCACCGGCACCGGCUGCCCAUGGAAUCGCCAUCCCCGGAAUUGUCCAGCGAACGUGCGGAUGUGGCACUCGGGGACGCGGUGGGGUUCUGGGGGAGGUUGGACUGGCUGAUCUCAGAGGGUUUUUCCAGGUUCUGUGAUUCCACGGCUGAUGGUCGUGGGUGCUGCUGGGGCAGCGCUGUCCCCUCUGGUGACACCUGUGUCCCCUCUGGUGACACCUCUGUCCCCAAGGGACUGGCAUUCUGUCACCUCCCGUGCGCUGAGGGGCGAUUUCCCGAGGCUCUGGUGCUGUGGGUGCUCAGAUCUCCCGCAGGGAUCAUUGCUCGGAUGGGGGGGACAAUCCCCGGGAUCUCUUGGUGUCCCCCAUGUCCCUGCUGUCCCUCAUCCCUGCUCCAUCACCUCCUGCCGCUCGGUCCCAGCUGUGGUCAGUCCAGGGCUGUUCUGUCGCUGCUUCCCAGGCUCCUGGAAUCGCUUUUCCAUGACAUUCCCGGCUGCAGAGCUGAGAUUUCUCCAGGAGAAGACCCAGGUCCAUGCAGCAGGGAAUAA